UCACAGAUAAGAAAAGAGUGUUCACCUUUUAAACAAUGAAAAGAGAUCUGUAUGAAAUAUCAAGAACUAAUUGCUCUUUGAUCUCUAUACCUUUCUUCCCUGUUCAAACACUCAUCUCUUCAUCAUCGUCGUCCUCAACUAAAUAUCUGGCUGAUCAAGUAGAAUUAAAGAUUCUUUAUACGAGCACACGAGUAAUGAAGAACACUCGCUUUCAAUCCCAAGAUCAUUGACGUGGUGUGAGAAGAGAUCAUAAUCUAUAAGUGUUUCUGAAUCUUCACCGUUAUUCGCCUUUCUCAUCAUAAGCUCACCAGUCAUCCUAAAUCCCAAUGGCAAACUUGACAUAUACCACCUAUACCUAUACGGUUUCUUAAUGGUGAAAAGCUUUGUAAACGAUUUCGAAUCACCAUUCCCCAUCCUCCACACUUGAGUAUCACUACCAACGGUGUUUCCAACGCCAAACCAGUAAAUAGACCCAUCUAUAGUUACCUGAGAGUGAGGCCUUUCCAAAUUAACCAAAUUAUUAGACAAAUUACCAUAUGAGUUUCUCCAAACCCCUGACCUUAAACUAAAAACCUCAACCUGCCAACGACUGCUACAAGUUACACCUUUCAUCUUCAUAUGCCUACUACGCGUACCACUAAUCUUUACAAUCUUAGGGUCACUAGUUACAGGACACACCCUAAAACCUAAAGCAUGAGCCACACGCAUAUCCAGAUUAGGCAAAGUGAUAGCAACUGAUUUUCUAAUCGACGGAUUCCAAAUAACAGCCGUCGGCUUUCGAGAAUGACCGGGAUUCAAAUAACAACCGAACAAACAAACCAAUCCAUGAGAGGUACCGAUGAUAAUGGAAUCCCUAAGUAGGUUAACGGACCGGGGAACAGUUGGAGAAUACUUGUUUUGUGGGAAACUGUCAUCAUCUACAAACGAAACAUAUGUUUCCACAGAGUACAAAUUUUCAUACCUUAUAAGCAAAUGAUGCGGUUGAUCAUGGUUAUGGACGGUGUAAUCAGCAAUGAAAUCAGGCGAAUCGAUAACAGAUUUCCAUGCUUUUGAAACAGAUCUGGCCUGAAUCAAUAAUUUUAUAGGAAGCCUUUUAAUGAUAUCCACUUGAAGUUCGAAAGGUAUGUGAUCGGACAUUAUGAUUUUAUGGUAUAAAUUUCUACGAUUUUUGUAGAGGGGAAGGCCGGUAUCAACUGUGACCGAAUCCGUUUAAUAAAAAGCGAUUUACACCGAUCCUCCAAAUUGAGAGGUCGGAGAUGAUGAGACAGGAUGGUCGCCGCUGAAGCCCGUCGGAAAGCGGUGUUGCAAAGGCGGUGGGCGGACUUCAGUUGAUAACAAACAGAAAAGGGAAAGAGUA
rnacentral:lncRNA from 1 species